CAGUCGCCGCGGUAAUACGAAGGGUGCAAGCGUUACUCGGAAUUACUGGGCGUAAAGCGUGCGUAGGUGGUGGUUUAAGUCCGUUGUGAAAGCCCUGGGCUCAACCUGGGAAUUGCAGUGGAUACUGGAUCACUAGAGUGUGGUAGAGGAUAGUGGAAUUCCCGGUGUAGCAGUGAAAUGCGUAGAGAUCGGAAGGAACAUCUGUGGCGAAGGCGACUAUCUGGGCCAACACUGACACUGAGGCACGAAAGCGUGGGGAGCAAACAGGAUUAGAUACCCGCGUAGUCCCUGUCUCUUAUAC
rnacentral:rRNA from 1 species